AUGAACGCAGCCAGGUGGGGCACGGCUGUCCUCCCAGCUGUUGGGAGGCCGAGGCAGGAGGAUCGCUUCGAGUCCAGCGAGCUCUUGCACGCAUGUUGGAACGAGAUCAGGCUAUGCGGAAGGUGGUGUGGCCCUGGAGGGGGAGCCUGGGAGGUUUGGGCCCGCAGUGGGAUGGGGGGCAGAACACAGGUCCUCCAAAGAAUGACGGAGGCCACCAGGAGAGCUUGGAGAAGACAAAGCCAGGGAACCACAGGCCACUCGGGAGCACAGGCCGUACCUGGGGAACCUUGCCAAUCUGUCCCCAACUUCGCCCCAGCGGGACGGGAAGAACCUGCAGUCCGCUGCCCCCGCAGCAACCGGCCCAGCAGGAGGGGCCCAGGCGCCUCCUUCCCCAGCGCAACCUACGGAAUCCGGCAGGAAUUCGGGCCUCCCAGAUGUAAGAAUUAUUUAUUCGAGAGGCAAGGAUGCCGGCCACAAAAGCGGAGGACACCGGAGAGCAGCAGCCAGCAUGCCGCCUCCGCCUCCCUGUCCGGUCUCUCCCCUACGCCCCUCUCAGAACUCGGAGCCUGCCGUCAGCCCCAGGGAAUGGUGACGAUGCCCAGCUUUUCUGAUGUUUCCUGCAACCAAGGACACACUGUAUUGUGCUGAGCACCCAGCCUCCUGGAGACCCAGCCAGACGUACCUGACCCAGAUGCCCAACUUAAGAAGGCACAGGAGUGGAAAGAUAAAUAUCCAUCGGCACUCCAUGGCCAAUCCUGUGGAGUGUUCUCACCUCACCUUAGUCACUCUCUCACCACUGGGACACACUAUCUGACACUCAUUGCUUAAAGGAGGACAGGUUUAUUGUGGCUCACAGUUUCGAGCCCUGGUUGAUUGGCUCCAAGGUAGGACAACACAACUGAGGGGCCCAGCGGAAGAGAGCUGCUCACCUCAUGGUGCACAGGAAACUGAGUGAAGGGAAGCACUGGGGAGGAAGGCAAACCCUUUCAGGCCACGCCCCCAAGACCCGCCCCUUCCGGCCAGGCCCAGAGUCCUAACAGUGAAUCUAGCUCGGGUCACGCAAUCACCUUGGGUCAUGCAAUCACCUUGCGGAGGUCUGGCCUAUGGACCUGAGG
rnacentral:lncRNA from 1 species